ACCAAACAAAAUCUCAUAGGGUGAUAGGCUGUAUUUUCCCCUAGGUGUGUACCUUACACUAAACAAUGCCAGUGGGAGACUCUCGGGCCAGGGCAUGUUAGUUUCUUGUGACAUCUUAAGCAUUCUGGCUUUCAAAGUGCCAUUCAUGCGUUCUACCUUACCACUACUCUGUGGGUGAUAUGGUGUGUGGAAUGCAAGGGUCACCCCCAGUGCUGACCAGACUUCCCGUGUUAGCGAGGCAGUAAAGGAGGUCCCCUGGUCACUUUCAAUCACUUCUGGGACCCCAUAGCGGCAAACAAUUUCUGUCAGGAGGUACUUGGCUGUAGUCCUCGCGGUGAGGUUAGUCACUGGGAAGGCCUCUGGCCAUCCUGAAAACAUGUCCACUAUGACCAAUGCAUAUUCAUAACGUCCA